rnacentral:rRNA from 1 species
CCCAUGUGAACAUACCUACUGUUGCUUCGGCGGGAUUGCCCCGGGCGCCUCGUGUGCCCCGGAUCAGGCGCCCGCCUAGGAAACUUAACUCUUGUUUUAUUUUGGAAUCUUCUGAGUAGUUUUUACAAAUAAAUAAAAACUUUCAACAACGGAUCUCUUGGUUCUGGCAUCGAUGAAGAACGCAGCGAAAUGCGAUAAGUAAUGUGAAUUGCAGAAUUCAGUGAAUCAUCGAAUCUUUGAACGCACAUUGCGCCCGCCAGUAUUCUGGCGGGCAUGCCUGUCUGAGCGUCAUUUCAACCCUCAUGCCCCUAGGGCGUGGUGUUGGGGAUCGGCCAAAGCCCGCGAGGGACGGCCGGCCCCUAAAUCUAGUGGCGGACCCGUCGUGGCCUCCUCUGCGAAGUAGUGAUAUUCCGCAUCGGAGAGCGAUGAGCCCCUGCCGUUAAACCCCCAACUUUCCAAGGUUGACCUCAGAUCAGGUAGGAAUACCCGCUGAACUUAAGCAUAUCAAA